rnacentral:rRNA from 1 species
UGGGGAAUUUUGGACAAUGGGCGCAAGCCUGAUCCAGCCAUGCCGCGUGCGGGAAGAAGGCCUUCGGGUUGUAAACCGCUUUUGUCAGGGAAGAAAUCUUCUGAGUUAAUACCUCGGGAGGAUGACGGUACCUGAAGAAUAAGCACCGGCUAACUACGUGCCAGCAGCCGCGGUAAUACGUAGGGUGCAAGCGUUAAUCGGAAUUACUGGGCGCAAAGCGUGCGCAGGCGGUUUUGUAAGACAGAGGUGAAAUCCCCGGGCUCAACCUGGGAACUGCCUUUGUGACUGCAAGGCUUGAGUGCGGCAGAGGGGGGAUGGAAUUCCGCGUGUAGCAGUGAAAUGCGUAGAUAUGCGGAGGAACACCGAUGGCGAAGGCAAUCCCCUGGGCCUGCACUGACGCUCAUGCACGAAAGCGUGGGGAGCAAACAGGAUUAGAUACCCUGGUAGUCCACGCCCUAAACGAUGUCAACUGGUUGUUGGGAAGGUUCCUUCUCAGUAACGUAGCUAACGCGUGAAGUUGA